rnacentral:rRNA from 1 species
AUUGAACUCUGGCGGCAGGCCUAACACAUGCAAGUCGAACGAGUGGCGGACGGGUGAGUAAUGUAUGGGAAAGUGCCUGAUGGAGGGGGAUAACUACAGGAAACGGUAGCUAAUAACGCAUACCAUCAGAUGUGCCCAGAUGGGAUUAGCUAGUUGGUGGGGUAACGGCUCACAAAGGCGACGAUCACUCGCUGGUCUGAGAGGAUGAACAGCCACACUGGCACUGAUACACGGUCCAGACUCCUACGGGAGUCAGCAGUGUGGAAUAUUGUACAAUGGGCGCAAGCCUGAUGCAGCCAUGCCGCGUGUAUGAAGAAGGCCUUCGGGUUGUAAAGUACUUUCAGCGGGGAGGCGUUACCCGCAGAAGAAGCACCGGCUAACUCCGUGCCAGCAGCCGCGGUAAUUC